GAAGGAUCAUUACCGAGUGUAGGGUUCCUAGCGAGCCCAACCUCCCACCCGUGUUUACUGUACCUUAGUUGCUUCGGCGGGCCCGCCAUUCAUGGCCGCCGGGGGCUCUCAGCCCCGGGCCCGCGCCCGCCGGAGACACCACGAACUCUGCCUGAUCUAGUGAAGUCUGAGUUGAUUGUAUCGCAAUCAGUUAAAACUUUCAACAAUGGAUCUCUUGGUUCCGGCAUCGAUGAAGAACGCAGCGAAAUGCGAUAACUAGUGUGAAUUGCAGAAUUCCGUGAAUCAUCGAGUCUUUGAACGCACAUUGCGCCCCCUGGUAUUCCGGGGGGCAUGCCUGUCCGAGCGUCAUUGCUGCCCAUCAAGCACGGCUUGUGUGUUGGGUCGUCGUCCCCUCUCCGGGGGGGACGGGCCCCAAAGGCAGCGGCGGCACCGCGUCCGAUCCUCGAGCGUAUGGGGCUUUGUCACCCGCUCUGUAGGCCCGGCCGGCGCUUGCCGAACGCAAAUCAAUCUUUUUCCAGGUUGACCUCGGAUCAGGUAGGGAUACCCGCUGAACUUAA
rnacentral:rRNA from 1 species